rnacentral:lncRNA from 1 species
GACCUGGGGGCGGAGCCGGCCUCUGACCCCGCCCCUAGGCCCCGCCCCUAGGCCCCGCCCCGCCCCCGACGGGGCGCACGGGCGGCCUCUCCCAAGGGCGGCGGAAGCGGAACAGCCGAGGGCGGUUUACGGGAGGUGGAGCCGCGAGUCACCGCUGUGCGGGCGUCCAGGGGUCCCGCCCAGACGGCCGGACGUCUGGGCCCAGGGAAGGGGACGAGGCCACCAGGCUAUGAGAAAGAAGGCCGAAGCCACCCAUAAACUUGGAGCGCGUGGAUUUGGAGGAGGCAGAAAAGGGAGCCGGGUCUGUUGGUGCACACCUGUAAUCCGAGCACUAGGGAAGCUGAGGCAGGAGGAUCAUUGUGAGUUUGAGGCCAGCCUGGGCCACAAAGUGAGCUCAAGGCCACCUUGAACUGCAUAUCAAGACCCUGUCUCAAGAGGACAAAAAUAUAAAUAAAUAAAUAAAUAGAUAAAUAACAGAUAAGGGAUCAGUUGCAUACUUGUGGGAGACAGUUAGUGACCUCCCCCUCUGUCCCCAGACCUUUUCUUUGGUAUCCCCCACAUCUAGAAAGUCCCUCCUGUUACCCAGCUGUCACCAUCUACUCUGAUUUUUCCUGCUUCAUCUUGUGAAGUCCU